rnacentral:rRNA from 1 species
GACGAACGCUGGCGGCAUGCCUAACACAUGCAAGUCGAACGGAGAUUAUUUCGAUAAUCUUAGUGGCGAACGGGUGAGUAACGCGUGGGCAACCUGCCCUCUAGAUGGGGACAACAUCCCGAAAGGGGUGCUAAUACCGAAUGUGACAGCAAUCUCGCAUGAGGAUGCUGUGAAAGAUGGCCUCUAUUUAUAAGCUAUCGCUAGAGGAUGGGCCUGCGUCUGAUUAGCUAGUUGGUGGGGUAACGGCCUACCAAGGCGAUGAUCAGUAGCCGGUGUGAGAGGAUGAACGGCCACAGUGGGACUGGAACACAGCACAGACGCCUACGGGAGGCAGCAGUGGGGAAUCGUCCGCAAUGGGCGAAAGCCUGACGGAGCAAUGCCGCGUGAGUGAUGAAGGAAUUCGUUCCGUAAAGCUCUUUUGUUUAUGACGAAUGUGCAGAUUGUGAAUAAUGAUCUGUAAUGACGGUAGUAAACGAAUAAGCCACGGCUAACUACGUGCCAGCCGCCGCCGUAAAAC